CUCCCUACUCUCCUUCCCUGGAUUCUAGUUAGGAAAAGACAUUCCAGAAGCUGGGGGGGGGGGGGGGCUCACUUGAUCUGGAAGGUUUAGACAGGGCUGGCUUUCACCUGCCCCUCCCUUGCCCACCCCCUACUCCAGGGUCCCUAUCCUCAUCCCCUCUCCUCCUCCCUCACCCCAAGCUCAGCUGCCGCCCCCGCCACAAGACGAAGCACUGCCGCAUUGGCAGGCUGGGCUGGUUGGCGGUGCGCACGCUGCUCGUCUCUCUGUCUUGCAGGGGUCUGCUAGGGGGUCUCAGCCGAGGAAGUCGCAGCAGGGGCAGGAGCUGGCGGCGGUUGGGUUCAGCACCACGGACAGCGCAGACAGAUUUCAGUACCACGGACAGCACCACAGUAUCUCGGCGCGGGCGAUGGGCGGCUGAGCGAGCCGGUGGUCCAUGAGCGCGAUGCGCCUCUUGCUUCUAGCUGUGCUCGUCUCGUUCUCGUUCGCCCGCGCCGGCUGCGAGCCUAAGAUCGUCAAUAUCGGCGCGGUUCUGAGCACCAAGAAACAUGAGCAGGUCUUCCGCGAGGCCAUCAAUCAGGCCAACAAGCGCCAUGGCACCUGGAAGAUCCAACUCAACGCCACAUCCGUCACGCACAAGCCCAAUGCCAUCCAGAUGGCCCUGUCCGUCUGCGAGGAUCUUAUCUCCAGCCAGGUCUAUGCCAUCUUAGUGAGCCACCCACCAGCUCCUAAUGACCACCUAACACCAACGCCUGUGUCAUACACAGCUGGCUUCUAUAGGAUCCCUGUCAUUGGUCUGACAACACGCAUGUCUAUAUAUUCAGAUAAGAGUAUCCAUUUAUCUUUCCUGCGUACUGUCCCCCCCUAUUCCCACCAGUCCAAUGUCUGGUUUGAAAUGAUGCGCUAUUAUAAGUGGAACCACAUCAUUCUCAUUGUCAGCGAUGAUCAUGAGGGGCGGGCUGCGCAAAAGAAGCUGGAGACCCUCUUGGAAGAAAAAGAAUCCAAGAGUAAAAAAAGGAACUAUGAAAACCUCGAACAACUAUCCUAUGACAACAAGCGAGGACCCAAGGCUGAAAAAGUGCUUCAGUUUGAACCUGGAACAAAAAAUUUGACUUCACUGCUUCUGGAAGCUAAAGAACUGGAGGCCCGGGUUAUUAUCCUCUCUGCAAGUGAGGAUGAUGCUACAACUGUAUACACAUCAGCAGCCAAAGAAAACAUGACUGGUCCAGGCUAUGUAUGGCUGGUAGGGGAAAGGGAGAUUUCAGGCAAUGCCCUGCGUCACGCACCAGAAGGACUCAUUGGUUUGCAGCUCAUGAAUGGGAAGAACGAGUCUGCUCACAUCAGGGAUGCGGUGGCUGUGGUGGCCCAGGCUGUCCAUGAGUUGUUCGAGAAAGAGAACAUUACAGACCCACCAAGGGGCUGUGUGGGAAACACCAACAUCUGGAAGACAGGGCCUCUGUUCAAGAGAGUGCUGAUGCAGACAAAGUAUGCAGAAGGUAUUACUGGCCGUGUGGAGUUCAAUGAAGAUGGAGACCGGAAAUACGCCAAUUACAGUGUCAUGAAUCUACAGAACAAUAAACUGGUGCAAGUUGGAGUCUACAAUGGUAGCCACUUCCUGCCCAAUGACCGGAAGAUCAUCUGGCCUGGAGGAGAAACGGAGACACCGCAGGGCUAUGAAAUGUCUACAAAAUUGAAGAUUGUCACAAUCCACCAAGAGCCCUUUGUCUAUGUGAAACCAACCAUGUUAGAUGGAAAGUGCAAGCCACUGCUCAACAGUACUGGGGGGCUGGUGCAGCAGGUCCUUUGUACUGGGCCUAAUGAGACUAUGCCAGGACGUCCCAGUGUGAUGCUGUGCUGCUAUGGCUUCUGUAUCGACUUACUGAUCAAGCUUGCUAAGACAAUGAAUUUUACCUAUGAGGUUCACCUUGUAGCUGAUGGUAAAUUUGGAACACAAGAACGGGUGAACAACAGCAACAAGAAAGAGUGGAAUGGCAUGAUGGGGGAGCUGCUGAGUGGCCAAGCUGACAUGAUUGUGGCCCCAUUGACUAUCAACAACGAGCGAGCGCAAUACAUUGAAUUCUCCAAGCCUUUCAAAUACCAGGGACUCACCAUCUUGGUCAAAAAGGAAAUUCCCCGCAGCACACUGGACUCAUUCAUGCAACCAUUCCAGAGUACUUUGUGGCUUUUGGUGGGGCUCUCGGUUCAUGUGGUAGCUGUGAUGUUGUAUCUCCUCGACCGGUUCAGUCCGUUUGGCCGGUUUAAAGUGAAUAGUGAGGAAGAAGAAGAAGAUGCUUUGACACUCUCUUCUGCUAUGUGGUUCUCCUGGGGAGUCCUCCUGAACUCUGGCAUUGGAGAAGGUGCUCCCCGGAGUUUCUCUGCUCGAAUUCUUGGCAUGGUGUGGGCUGGAUUUGCUAUGAUUAUUGUGGCCUCAUAUACUGCCAACCUGGCUGCCUUCCUGGUGUUGGACAGACCUGAGGAACGAAUCACAGGCAUUAAUGAUCCCAGGUUGCGAAACCCUUCAGAUAAGUUCAUAUAUGCUACGGUGAAGCAAAGUUCAGUGGACAUUUACUUCCGCCGUCAGGUGGAGUUGAGCACCAUGUACCGCCACAUGGAGAAACACAAUUAUGAGAGUGCUGCAGAAGCCAUCCAGGCUGUCAGGGAUAACAAGCUCCAUGCAUUCAUCUGGGAUUCAGCUGUGCUAGAAUUUGAAGCAUCACAGAAGUGUGACCUGGUGACAACAGGGGAGUUAUUCUUCCGCUCUGGCUUUGGCAUCGGGAUGCGCAAGGACAGCCCUUGGAAGCAGAACGUCUCCCUGGCCAUCCUCAAUCUCCAUGAGAACGGCUUCAUGGAAGAGCUUGACAAGACUUGGGUGAGGUAUCAGGAGUGUGAUUCCCGAAGUAAUGCUCCAGCAACUCUCACCUUUGAGAACAUGGCAGGUGUAUUCAUGCUGGUGGCUGGAGGUAUUGUGGCCGGGAUAUUUUUAAUAUUCAUAGAAAUAGCUUACAAAAGGCAUAAAGACGCCCGGAGGAAGCAGAUGCAACUGGCGUUUGCAGCCGUUAAUGUGUGGCGGAAAAACCUGCAGUCCUCUCUCUCUCUUGUGGCCGUAGGAUUCACCUUCAGAAAAGGCCCCGAGCAUUUUUAUUUAGUGGAUAGAAAAAGUGGUAGAGCAGAACCAGACCCUAAAAAGAAAGCCACUUUUAGGUCCUUCACCUCUACCCUGGCCUCCAGCUUCAAGAGACGUAGGUCCUCCAAAGACACGACAGCCCCGCGAUGUCACCACGCCCAGAAUCCGUGAGCUGCAGAUAAGCCCUGUAGAGAAUCCCCGGCUUCAGGAGCUGCUCAGCACAGGCAGUAUCAUCCCACUGACAUCACUGGGCAGCUCAAUCUUUCCGACCCCUCGGUCAGCACCGUGGUGUGACAUCUGGGCGCUGUCACCACCAGUUGUGGCCAGGCAGACACGUGAGGGACAGACCAAUGGAGACUCUGACGGGUCCUUCUGGAUACACCGAAGGAAAGCCUUUGCCAUCCAGCCACAGUGUCUGCAUUGCUUUCUUCCCUCCAUGGUAGAUCCCCUUCUCUUCCUUGGCCAGCUGAUUUCCCAACUUUGGGAUGAACUACAGAACAUGAGGCCUUGGAGUGGCCAAACCCCACUUUGCGUAGCUGCUGGCCUCUAUUUAUUUCUCUUUUUGACACCAAACUGAGACAGAGAAGGUGGCUCCACGUAGCACAGCAAGCAUGCCAAGGAUGUUAGCUCUCAUUGAAGCAGACUUGAUUCCUUUGCAGUGAGGAGAGAGUCUCUUUGUCAAACAUGCAUGUAUGGAAUGUCAUACACCUGCCUUAUCCCAUUUUCACACCACGUAAGAGGACUAUGGAGGGGAAUCCGUGUCCCCCAGAGCUCACGGGUCAUUGUACAUAGCACACCAUGCAAAGAACAUGCCCAUCUAUAUCUCAAUGUCCAUCGCCUCAGAGAGGGAGUCCUCUCUGAUUGGGAUUGAGAUGAUCCUGCCCCCUGUAUACAUACAGUGCCACAUUUGUCAUUUGCCUAUGGGUAUCUGAUCCCUUCCCUGUUUUUCAGUUUCUGGCUCAUUGCUGAAAAAGGAACUUCUGAUACCUCCCUCUCCACUCCCCCAGAGUGGUAAAGAAAUAUACAAAGGGGAUGUUACAAAAGAGGGGGAGCGGGCAACAGGGAUGUUCUCUGCUUCCAUUUGUUGAACUUAUGGCCUGAAAAUUCUUCCAGGAAUAGCCUGAAUUUCUUCUGAGUCACAGUUCUGCAAAACAGCAGCCUACCUUGUACGUACCGUAGAGGUGGGAAACCACAUCUCCCACUACCUCUGGAAAGUUGUGUUUGUCGUCGUAUGUGGCUACAAGGAGACAAGAGUGCUUAUUUACAAGCCUGAUUUCCUUCCUGUCUUCCCCAAGAGCUGGGCUCAAGCUGGGCUGCAGGAUCUCCCCGUUUUAAUUUAGCUUCAGGACAGCCCUGUGUGACCAGUUAUUUAUGAAUUUUAUAUAAAUAAGCUGCUGGUCCAAAAGAAUGAAUGAAAGAAAGAAAAUUGCACAAGGCAGCUUGGGAAAGAGUCGUGAGGUUAGUGACUUUGCACUCAAACCUUCCUUGUGAGCUUUUGUAGCUAAUUUGGGUUUUGAAUUGGAGCAUCCCACAUCCAAACUAAACCCUCUUUGUAGCACUUCAUGAACUUCCACUUUUCUCUGGUUCAGGGUUCUGUCACUGUUGGUGAAAAAUUAAGAGGACAAAAAGUUCUCUCUACCCUAAAUCUGCUGUAGCUGUGGAGUGAUUUCACAUUGCUCCAACCCAGUAAUGCAUUGUUAUCACAGCUGCACCUCCUUCUGGCUGUCCUUGGAAGUGCAAAGGCCAACAACAUUGAUUUUUCUAGUUUGCUAGUCUGGACAUAACUGAUGCCUAAGCUUAAGCACUUGAUCGUAUUUCACACUAUACAUAUUAUCAGAAAGUAGUAUUUGAUGCGAAGGUGGUGAAUUGGGACAAACAAGUUGUUCCUUCUUAUGCAGUGCCUAUGCUAUCCCUGGCCUUGCCUCCCCCUCAACCUUCUGAACAUGUAAGCAAUAUGGAGUGGCCUUAUAUCAAGUCAGACCUAGCUCAGAAUUGUCGCCUGUGACUAGCAGAGGCUCUCCAAGGUCUCAGGCAGAUCCUAGCCUUGCUAUCCAAGAGUCAUGUAAAUGGGACAUUCUAUGUGCAAACCAUAUUGGCACAGUGGCUACUUUUAGGUUUACUAUUGUAAAUUCUUGAGGGAAGAAACUUGGAAGUUACAUCA